rnacentral:misc_RNA from 1 species
AAGUCGUAACAAGGUUUCCGUAGGUGAACCUGCGGAAGGAUCAUUAUUGAAUAAAUCUGGCGCGAGGUUGUAGCUGGCUCUCCGGAGCAUGUGCACGCCUCCGUCACCUUUAUCUUUCCACCUGUGCACACACUGUAGUCCUGGAUACCUCUCGCUGCAAAAGCGGAUGCAGAGCUUGCUGUGACUUUGGCAACAAAGACCAGUCUUGCUCUGAAUUUCCAGGGUCUACGAAUCUUUUACACACCCCUUAAACGAAUGUCAUAGAAUGUAUAUCACUGGGCCUUUGUGCCUAUAAACCUUAUACAACUUUCAACAACGGAUCUCUUGGCUCUC